GAGGCGAUUGGAAACGUCUAUCAGCCUAUCUAGCUUGUAGCUCAUACCUUCUGAGUGGAUAAAACUUAUUUUUCAUAAAUAAGUCUUCAUUAUAUUUUAAAGUUAUUUAUUGUAUAAAGUUGACUUUAUAGCAUGAUUUUCAGAAUAAAUUGGAUUUUAUUAACAAUUGCUUUUAAAGUUAAAUUCAGUUUAAUUAAAUCAUUUGACUAGCAUGUUAUAUGAAUAUAGAUGUUUCAGUAUAGCUAAAGUUAUUUUAAAACCAUCAGAAAGUACCCAGGUGAUUUUAUCCCAGUCUGCACUGAUGUGAAUGUGUUUCCACAGUGUAUGACUACUUACAGUGAUUUUACCCGCUCUGCACUAUUGUAAAUGUGUUUCCAUAGUGUAUGACCAGAUUUUCAGAGGUCUUUGGGACCCACUCUCGUACACAUAUAGGCUUUGGGCCGUGUACUAGGGUGAUUAGCCUUUGGGGCAGCUCUGCGUACGUAUGACCAGAUUAUCAGAUUAUCAGCUAUCAGAUUAUCAGAUUUGAAUGGCUUUGCCUUGUACAUCGAGAUUACU
rnacentral:lncRNA from 1 species